rnacentral:rRNA from 2 species
AGUCGAACGGCAGCGGGAAAGUAGCUUGCUACUUUUGCCGGCGAGUGGCGAACGGGUGAGUAAUGUAUCGGAACGUGCCCAGUAGCGGGGGAUAACUACGCGAAAGCGUGGCUAAUACCGCAUACGCCCUACGGGGGAAAGGGGGGGAUCUUAGGACCUCUCACUAUUGGAGCGGCCGAUAUCGGAUUAGCUAGUUGGUGGGGUAAAGGCCUACCAAGGCGACGAUCCGUAGCUGGUUUGAGAGGACGACCAGCCACACUGGGACUGAGACACGGCCCAGACUCCUACGGGAGGCAGCAGUGGGGAAUUUUGGACAAUGGGGGAAACCCUGAUCCAGCCAUCCCGCGUGUGCGAUGAAGGCCUUCGGGUUGUAAAGCACUUUUGUCAGGGAAGAAAAGGUUUCGGAUAAUACCCGGAACUGAUGACGGUACCUGAAGAAUAAGCACCGGCUAACUACGUGCCAGCAGCCGCGGUAAUACGUAGGGUGCAAGCGUUAAUCGGAAUUACUGGGCGUAAAGCGUGCGCAGGCGGUUCGGAAAGAAAGAUGUGAAAUCCCAGGGCUCAACCUUGGAACUGCAUUUUUAACUACCGAACUAGAGUAUGUCAGAGGGGGGUGGAAUUCCACGUGUAGCAGUGAAAUGCGUAGAUAUGUGGAGGAACACCGAUGGCGAAGGCAGCCCCCUGGGAUAAUACUGACGCUCAUGCACGAAAGCGUGGGGGAGCAAACAGGAUUAGAUACCCUGGUAGUCCACGCCCUAAA